UAGCAUUGCUAGCUUAUUUUGAUGGCGGUAGGCAGUUGUUCCUCUGGGUUCGUCUGUUACCCUUUUCUUGACUUUAAGCAAGGUAAGUAACUAAGAUGCCGAACUGUGUGGAAUAAUUAUCAGUCAUACCUUUAUCAGAUCUGAAUACACUUCCUAGAUUAACCAAAUGCACAUUGCUGCAUCGACUGUUUGAAUUUGAAUGCCUCACGUUGGUUUAUGGUUUUAACUGCAAAAUGGCAUUCUUUUAAUUUAGUGUCGCCAUUAAUUAAUUGUUUCCAGGGGAGACGAUUUUUUUCUCAUUCUUGUAAUAUUUUCCUUUAUUACUAUAUUUCCGUCACCUGAGUGUUAGUAUAGCUACACUGUAGGUCAUGUAUUAAGUACUACACGUUUCGUACAUUUCAUGGCAACAUUUAGGUAAGUACAGCUUUUCUUAUAUUCAGAUUUUUCUCUGAUAUGUUAGUGCUCCGUACAUUUCUUUUUUUCAGUAUUUAGACAGUUUGAGUGUUUAUUUCCAGUUUUUAUGUUCUAUGUAAUGCCUCUUUUGUAUUAAGUGUUAUAUAAUUAAAGUUGUAGUUAAAGUAAUAACAUAUUAAUUAUAAAGGUAUAUUUAUCUGGGGAAUUCAGGCAGUUGUGGAAUUUGUUCUCUGUGUGAUCUGAACUUGUGUGUUUUUGAGGGGUGCCUGUGUGGGUUUCUUUUCUUACCUGGUGCUGCUGUUCUAGUUGUGUGUUUUGUUGGUGUAUGGGUAUGAGAUGUUUUGUUUCCUCCGUUUUUCUGUGUCUUUUUUUUUUCUUGUGCUUUUAUCUAAAAUUCUUUUGUUGUUGUUUACCUAUAUGUUGUACAGGGGAAAUCCAUGCAUUAUAUAUUUUGUAUGAUAGGCAACUUUCUGUUCCCUGUAUUGUAAUGUUGAGCAAAUUAAUUUUUGUUGUUCUGUUCCUUUUACAUGGUAAAUUGUAAGUUUGGUUUGAUGUCGAAUUCUUGCAGUAUAAGUUUUGUUUCGGUUAAGUUUUUGAUUGUAAUUCAGUAAUUUGUUGUGUACGUAUUUGUAGGUACCCAUUUUCUUGUGUCUUAUGGGAGUGUUGCCCUGUAGGAACUGUGAGAAUAUUGCAGAAGAUGGUGCUGUCAUUCUGAGGCUUUUUUCUUGUUUCUAGCAGUUGCUAUUAAUUUGGGAGGAAGACUGUGAUAGAAUGGUGUCCGCUAUGUUCUCUCUUUCUCCGAUUGUAUUUUGUUGUUUGUUGUCAUUAUUUAGUACGGUCUGUUUUAUGGUGGUGAAUUUCCUUGUUGGUAUGUAUUUUUAUAAUUUUUCACCAGCGAUAUGUGCCCAAACUGUGAUGAACAUGUUUGUAGCAUUACAGUGGUAGUUCUGGCAUGCAGCCAUCAAGGAACAGUGGUUCUUGCUGAAAAUCAUAAGAGUAUCAGGUUUCAGAAAUUAAGUUCCAUCCCCGUUGUGACCAGCUGACAAAGAGAAAGACACAAGCGUAUCAGCCACCAAGGAAUGGGAUGUGUGUGUCAUCUCUACGGAGCUGCAUGUGCGCCACCACCAAGGUCUGAAUGUGAAUCACAUGAGGAUGUGUGGUAGGAUAUUGUUUUUAGAGUUUGUGGAGAAUCCCUUGUUUUCCUGUGUCUCAGAAGGGUUAAAAUGUAUUGAUUAUAUUUAGCAGAGAGUACAGUUUCUGAAGCUCCCCAUUGUGCAAUUUUCUGCAGCCUCAUAUUAUUUCAUUCCUCUUCUGUCCAGAUAUUCUCAGCAUCCCGUUGCAAUUGUUCAACUUAAUGUCCAUUAUUUAUCGUCCAUCAGUACCUUGACAAGAGGACUACAGCAUGUGAUUUGAACAGGGACUUAGACAGUGUAGGAGUUUUAACAUAAUAUAAUGAAAAAUAUUUGUAAUAUAUCAAGACACCUGAAGAUGGCCGUUUGGGGCCGGAACAUGCAGUGUCUAGGUGUAUAAUGUUAAAGUAAAAUUAAAAUUAAAUAGUGAACAAAUAAGUGUUGCAGUAUUGACGGACAAUAAAUAAUGGACGUUAAGUUGAGUAAUACAGUUUAAAUGGGAAAUUUCUUGCCAGAGCCAAAUUUGAUGACAUUUGGUUCAGGUAUUCAAGUCAUAUUAAGGUUAUUAUCUAAAAGGAUUUGAGAGGCUUCACUGUUGGUAUUACUGAUGAGAGGGAUUUCUCAAGUGCUCAGUUGAGAUGGCCCCAGGAAUCGUGAUAUACAUACCAAGUUUCAUGAAGGCCAGUAAAAGUGUUCAGCAAUUGUUAGGGGUGAUUAACAGACACACACAGCCAGUUGAUUUCCUGUCUACUUCUGAUUUUAGGAAUAUGAAAAUGGGCCAAAAGGAGAAGGGAACGACAUACAGAUGUGGGGCAAAAAUGUACAUAUGAGAUUUCCUCCUGAAUAGCAGAUGCCAGAAAAGCAUAAUUUUAUAAUAACACUAACUGUAACAAAAUACUGUAACUGCAUGUUAGGCAGAAGUGGCAAACAUUCAAGUCAUAACUGUUAGACAUAUUUACAUUGUUACAUACUUCAUUUGCAGCUAAGGUGAAGCGAACAUGACAUGUAUCAGGAUAUUUUGUUACAGAUCUGCCAUUUCUUAUUGUACAUAUUUAUUUUUUAGGCAACAUCUUCAGGCAGGAGAAAGGAAUGGCAUCAAAGUGGAAGAAGGUUUAUGAUGGUGACCCUCCUCCUAAGAAAAGUGAGGCUGAUGCAAUUGGAAGAAACUGAACAAGAACCCGUUGACUCGCCUGGCAAUAGCACCAGUACCGCACAUUCAAAUUUCCUGCUAAAUGGCAAAGGGGAUGAUAAGAAUGACGAUGGCCUGGUCUUAGAUGCUGACUGAGACCUUCUGUGGGAGAUGGCUGAGUUAUUAAAUGAUUUGAAGUUUGAAAUGUCUACUUAUAUAAACAGAAACCAAUAGUCUGUUAUUUUCUUAGAGCACUCAGAUGUGUCAGAACUAGUUGGAACUUGCAUGAUUAAAAGAAAUGUUGUCACUGUGCUUAGUUUCUUGACCUCAGCACUGGAUGGAGGUGAGUGGUCAGCUUCACUUCCCUCCAGCUUUACCCGCAGAGAGAUUGCAGAACUGGUUUAUUACAUCAACUUCCACUCUUGAGAGAGAUUAAAAAUGGGAAUAUUCAGAGGACCCAGUAUGAGUGUACUCAGUGUCAGUGUGAAGGAAGAAAUAGCAGGCAGUACGUACGUUUGGUGUUGAGCUACCAGACAUGCCAGAUACAAGAGUAUAGCUUUGGUUGGCAGCAUUACAUUCAUAACAUCCGCCUGUAUAGAUGUACCAGUAGUAAAUUAAGAAACCUAUAAAAGCGCUGUCAGAAUACAGCAUCAGAUGUUAUUUGCUUGAUUUAAUUAAUUGAUAACCUGAUGUAAUUUGACGUUGAAAUGUCAUCAGGGUGUUUCAUCAGAAUACGCUUGAAAGCUGUUCAGGGUUCUUAUAUGAUUUUAUUUAUAUUCUAAAAAUGUAUACUGUACUUAGUAAAACAAGUGAAGUAAUAACAUGAUAUGAUUCCUUUAUGCAAUUCAAGCCCUUUCAGGUGUUCCAAAUUCAUGUACAAAAUCUAUAUAAACAGUGAUAUGUUUUUCUGUGUGAUGAUAGGCUGUAGUGCUAUAUGUUACAGAGUUCUGCUGAAUUAAGAUGGCAUUCACAUCCUUACUGAUAUGAAUGAUGGCUUCAUUCCUGUAACAUAUGAAAUUGCUACGGUUGUGUGUGAUGUCCCAUUUGUCCUGACGGGAGCCGGAGUUAAUUUUUUAAAUUUACGGUGGAUUACAGAGUUACACAAUACAGUGUGAAAGUGCCAGCAACAAUUUUAGAAUUGUUCCACUGUUUUUGUAGGAUAUGCUGUGGGUCUUAGAGGUGGCGCUGCACAAUGCAUAGGAGCUACGGAAGUAGGAGAGGAAGCUGGUGGCAGAACAGUUUUUGAAUCAAGCAAGAGGAAACAUAGUCAGAUUGACAGUUGCUCAGAUACUGAACGAUUUUGGGGCCCACGGGAAGGCCAUGUUGAGAAGAGAGCAGUGAAACCAAGUGAAGGAGCAGCUGCUGAGUUAGAGAAGAUCCUUGCAAGAGGACAAGCGAAAAGGAGGAGGAAUGAAAAACCUCUGGACGAAAAGUCGGAGUUACACAGCUCAACCACCUGGAAGGAGUGCUGUGACAAUGACGACAAAGAUAUUCUGGUUCUGGACGUGGAAGUUUUA